AUGCGAACCGCGCCGUCACGCCGUGCUCCAAAAAGAAAGAGACAAGGGUCAACUAUACAUGAAGAAGAAGAGUUUGUUGAGGAGGAGUCAGAAGAAGAUGAGGAAAUGGAAGCGGCGAUAGACGUUGACGAUGACGAGGACACAUAUGCGGAUGAAUCAGAGGAGGAGGACAAGGAGGAGGAUGAAAAAGAAGAUGCAGAGGAGGAGGAGGAGGAAGAGGAGGAGGACAAAGAAGAAGAGGGCAAAGGAGAGGAGGAGGACAAGGAAGAAGAUAGUAAGGCAGAGGAGGAGGAAGAAGAAGAUGAGGCCAAAGAGGGGGACGGGGACAAAGGUGCAACAGUUGAUGGCAGUGAGAGGGGAGAAGACAAAGGCGCAGCAGUUGAUGGCAGUGAGAGGGAAGAAGACGACGAUGAAGAAGACAAGGAUGGUUAUGGUGAUCAUAAAGGGCGAUCCAAUGGAGGUAGCGACAGCAGCGAUGAUGAUGAUGACAACGCCCCUUGUUCUGGUGGUACAGGCGGCAACACAUCCAGGAGGACUAGCACUUCUGCCACCCCUGCCAGCAGCAGCAAUUCAUUGAGUAGCAGGAGUACACUACAGAUGUUGAUUGACAAAACUUGCUGGAAAGACAAGGAUUUGCCGAAGUCAAAGAAAAAUGACGAAGCAGAGUCUCAGGGCAGCAUUGAUAUGUUCAAGCUCUGCAACUUGAAGCCAGCUUUGCCAACCACCUUUCCCGUGCCAGAUUUUAGCGACCAAGAUAUGUGUGAGAAGAUCAACUUUGCCAUUGACAAGAGCAUGUUCUUAUCAAGUGAUGCUGAAAAGAAUCAAAUUGACAUGGAGGAAGCAUGA
rnacentral:rRNA from 1 species